rnacentral:rRNA from 1 species
GUUUGAUCCUGGCUCANAACGAACGCUGGCGGCACGCCUAACACAUGCAAGUCGAGCGCACCUUCGGGUGAGCGGCGGACGGGUUAGUAACGCGUGGGAACAUACCCUUCUCUAAGGAAUAGCCACNGGAAACGGUGAGUAAUACCUUAUACGCCCUUCGGGGGAAAGAUUUAUCGGAGAUGGAUUGGCCCGCGUUAGAUUAGAUAGUUGGUGGGGUAAUGGCCUACCAAGUCUACGAUCUAUAGCUGGUUUUAGAGGAUGAUCAGCAACACUGGGACUGAGACACGGCCCAGACUCCUACGGGAGGCAGCAGUGGGGAAUCUUAGACAAUGGGCGCAAGCCUGAUCUAGCGAUGCCGCGUGUGUGAUGAAGGUCUUAGGAUCGUAAAGCACUUUCACCAGGGAUGAUAAUGACAGUACCUGGAAAAGAAACCCCGGCUAACUCCGUGCCAGCAGCCGCGGUAAUAAGG